rfam:Hepatitis C virus isolate QC115, complete genome
CAACAGAGUAGCGGGGGCACUCAGGAAACUUGGUGCGCCCCCCCUAC